rnacentral:rRNA from 1 species
AUUGAACGCUGGCGGCAGGCUUAACACAUGCAAGUCGAGCGAGCGGAGGACGGGUGAGUAAUGUCUGGGAAACUGCCUGAUGGAGGGGGAUAACUACUGGAAACGGUAGCUAAUACCGCAUACCAUCAGAUGUGCCCCGAUGGGAUUAGCUAGUAGGUGGGGUAAUGUCUCACAAAGGCGACGAUCCCUAGCUGGUCUGAGAGGAUGACCAGCCAAGCUGGAACUGAUACACGGUCCAGACUCCUACGGGAGGCAGCAGUGGGUAAUAUUGGACAAUGGGCGGAAGCCUGAUGCAGCCAGGCCGCGUGUGUGAAGAAGGCCUUCGGGUUGUAAAGCACUUUCAGCGAGGAGGCGUUACUCGCAGAAGAAGCACCGGCUAACUACGUGCCAGCAGCCGCGGUAAUUC